rnacentral:rRNA from 1 species
GGGUUGUGAGGUUAAGCGACUAAGCGUACACGGUGGAUGCCCUGGCAGUCAGAGGCGAUGAAGGACGUGCUAAUCUGCGAUAAGCGUCGGUAAGGUGAUAUGAACCGUUAUAACCGGCGAUUUCCGAAUGGGGAAACCCAGUGUGAUUCGUCACACUAUCAUUAACUGAAUCCAUAGGUUAAUGAGGCGAACCGGGGGAACUGAAACAUCUAAGUACCCCGAGGAAAAGAAAUCAACCGAGAUUCCCCCAGUAGCGGCGAGCGAACGGGGAGCAGCCCAGAGCCUGAAUCAGUGUGUGUGUUAGUGGAAGCGUCUGGAAAGGCGCGCGAUACAGGGUGACAGCCCCGUACACAAAAAUGCACAUGCUGUGAGCUCGAUGAGUAGGGCGGGACACGUGGUAUCCUGUCUGAAUAUGGGGGGACCAUCCUCCAAGGCUAAAUACUCCUGACUGACCGAUAGUGAACCAGUACCGUGAGGGAAAGGCGAAAAGAACCCCGGCGAGGGGAGUGAAAAAGAACCUGAAACCGUGUACGUACAAGCAGUGGGAGCACAGAGCAAUCUGUGUGACUGCGUACCUUUUGUAUAAUGGGUCAGCGACUUAUAUUCUGUAGCAAGGUUAACCGAAUAGGGGAGCCGAAGGGAAACCGAGUCUUAACUGGGCGUUAAGUUGCAGGGUAUAGACCCGAAACCCGGUGAUCUAGCCAUGGGCAGGUUGAAGGUUGGGUAACACUAACUGGAGGACCGAACCGACUAAUGUUGAAAAAUUAGCGGAUGACUUGUGGCUGGGGGUGAAAGGCCAAUCAAACCGGGAGAUAGCUGGUUCUCCCCGAAAGCUAUUUAGGUAGCGCCUCGUGAAUUCAUCUCCGGGGGUAGAGCACUGUUUCGGCAAGGGGGUCAUCCCGACUUACCAACCCGAUGCAAACUGCGAAUACCGGAGAAUGUUAUCACGGGAGACACACGGCGGGUGCUAACGUCCGUCGUGAAGAGGGAAACAACCCAGACCGCCAGCUAAGGUCCCAAAGUCAUGGUUAAGUGGGAAACGAUGUGGGAAGGCCCAGACAGCCAGGAUGUUGGCUUAGAAGCAGCCAUCAUUUAAAGAAAGCGUAAUAGCUCACUGGUCGAGUCGGCCUGCGCGGAAGAUGUAACGGGGCUAAACCAUGCACCGAAGCUGCGGCAGCGACGCUGAUGCGUUGUUGGGUAGGGGAGCGUUCUGUAAGCCUGUGAAGGUGUACUGUGAGGUAUGCUGGAGGUAUCAGAAGUGCGAAUGCUGACAUAAGUAACGAUAAAGCGGGUGAAAAGCCCGCUCGCCGGAAGACCAAGGGUUCCUGUCCAACGUUAAUCGGGGCAGGGUGAGUCGACCCCUAAGGCGAGGCCGAAAGGCGUAGUCGAUGGGAAACAGGUUAAUAUUCCUGUACUUGGUGUUACUGCGAAGGGGGGACGGAGAAGGCUAUGUUGGCCGGGCGACGGUUGUCCCGGUUUAAGCGUGUAGGCUGGUUUUCCAGGCAAAUCCGGAAAAUCAAGGCUGAGGCGUGAUGACGAGGCACUACGGUGCUGAAGCAACAAAUGCCCUGCUUCCAGGAAAAGCCUCUAAGCAUCAGGUAACAUCAAAUCGUACCCCAAACCGACACAGGUGGUCAGGUAGAGAAUACCAAGGCGCUUGAGAGAACUCGGGUGAAGGAACUAGGCAAAAUGGUGCCGUAACUUCGGGAGAAGGCACGCUGAUAUGUAGGUGAAGUCCCUCGCGGAUGGAGCUGAAAUCAGUCGAAGAUACCAGCUGGCUGCAACUGUUUAUUAAAAACACAGCACUGUGCAAACACGAAAGUGGACGUAUACGGUGUGACGCCUGCCCGGUGCCGGAAGGUUAAUUGAUGGGGUCAGCGCAAGCGAAGCUCUUGAUCGAAGCCCCGGUAAACGGCGGCCGUAACUAUAACGGUCCUAAGGUAGCGAAAUUCCUUGUCGGGUAAGUUCCGACCUGCACGAAUGGCGUAAUGAUGGCCAGGCUGUCUCCACCCGAGACUCAGUGAAAUUGAACUCGCUGUGAAGAUGCAGUGUACCCGCGGCAAGACGGAAAGACCCCGUGAACCUUUACUAUAGCUUGACACUGAACAUUGAGCCUUGAUGUGUAGGAUAGGUGGGAGGCUUUGAAGUGUGGACGCCAGUCUGCAUGGAGCCGACCUUGAAAUACCACCCUUUAAUGUUUGAUGUUCUAACGUUGACCCGUGAUCCGGGUUGCGGACAGUGUCUGGUGGGUAGUUUGACUGGGGCGGUCUCCUCCUAAAGAGUAACGGAGGAGCACGAAGGUUGGCUAAUCCUGGUCGGACAUCAGGAGGUUAGUGCAAUGGCAUAAGCCAGCUUGACUGCGAGCGUGACGGCGCGAGCAGGUGCGAAAGCAGGUCAUAGUGAUCCGGUGGUUCUGAAUGGAAGGGCCAUCGCUCAACGGAUAAAAGGUACUCCGGGGAUAACAGGCUGAUACCGCCCAAGAGUUCAUAUCGACGGCGGUGUUUGGCACCUCGAUGUCGGCUCAUCACAUCCUGGGGCUGAAGUAGGUCCCAAGGGUAUGGCUGUUCGCCAUUUAAAGUGGUACGCGAGCUGGGUUUAGAACGUCGUGAGACAGUUCGGUCCCUAUCUGCCGUGGGCGCUGGAGAACUGAGGGGGGCUGCUCCUAGUACGAGAGGACCGGAGUGGACGCAUCACUGGUGUUCGGGUUGUCAUGCCAAUGGCACUGCCCGGUAGCUAAAUGCGGAAGAGAUAAGUGCUGAAAGCAUCUAAGCACGAAACUUGCCCCGAGAUGAGUUCUCCCUGACUCCUUGAGAGUCCUGAAGGAACGUUGAAGACGACGACGUUGAUAGGCCGGGUGUGUAAGCGCAGCGAUGCGUUGAGCUAACCGGUACUAAUGAACCGUGAGGCUUAACCUUACAACGCCGAAGGUGUUU